AGAAGGAAACCGAGCAAGUCCAUUUUGAUUCGAUUCUCUCCUUUUCGGACCUCCAAUCGCUGCAUCAUGUGAAUGUUUGAUUCAGGAGAUGUCCGCCGCUCCUAUAGCCUCUCUUCCACCGAGGGUUCGCCCUCGCUUCCAUCCAGCUACGGAUGGUAUCAUUUGGCUUUCUUAUUUGACCUAAUUAGGGCUCUGGGCACAGAUUGGUUUUCCAUUUGGCGAUUUGAACAGGAGAAGUCCAUUUUUUAUGGGAGUAUGGUAACCAGAAGAAGUUGCUCUACAUGUAAAGCUUUUGACCUUCUAUCUGCCCCAGGUUUUUAUAUAUAGUUGGACAAGUAGUAAAAUAGACAGAGCAGAUGGCUGUUGUAGAAUGUACUCCGAAAGGGGUUCCAACUGCAGUGAAGAAUAGAAAAGAAGAAGAAACACGAUAAAUGUUAUCUCUGGAUGCUCCUCUUUCAGUGUUUGCUCUUCUAUCAUUUGUUUUUUUUUCUUUCUGGUUCUUUAGUUUACCUUUAUUCUCAAAGACUGUUAAGUAUAAGAUUGGAAGAAACAAGAUAAAUGUUAUCUCUGGAUGCUCCUCUUUCAGUGUAUGCUCUUCUAUCAUUUUUUUUUCCUGGUUCUUUAGCUUACCUUUAUUCUCAAAGACUGCUAACUAUAAGAUUGGUUCUACUUUUGAUUCUUUUUAUUCCCUUAGAUUUGUUCAGCAUAGGAUUCUUUUUUAAAAAGCGAAAGUUGAAUUAUUUAAAAGCUAAUGUGUUUGCCAACUCAGGCGAAUAACAUUUUCCUCUACAUAAGUCCUUAAGGUCCUCUUGAAGUUUUAUUUACUCUUGUUCGUAUGUGUUUGUGUCCCAAAAUUUAUGUACAAUUUAGCUGGUUUAUUUUCGUAAAAUCUGUCAAUUCUCUGGCUAAGAAUAUUGGAUGAUGCUUUCAUGUUAAAGUAACAAUUUUUGCACUGUUCCAGAGGUGAAUAGUAGGAUCUCUUAUGUGAAAAUCAAGGGUGAACUUUGGUGCCACCGUAAGAUGUCCAUUUGCAACUUUGGUAGUCAGAGCUAGGGUCAUGGAACAUCUGCUUUGUUGUAUUUUGUAUUAAUGGGAGCCUUGUGUAAUGGCUUACAUUCUUUUUAUUUCUCAUUGCAAUGGAUAACAUCCUCAAACUUUUCAUACAUAAAGCUUGAAACAUUACAAUAUCUUUGAACAUUUCAAACCAUGUAGGGGGCUCAAUGAUGAAGGUAAGAUAGUAACUUAAAAUGGACUUGCACUAUUAGAAACUGGUAUGCCUUUUUAAAUUUCACUGGCGAAUCACUGAAAGUUUCAUAUAUAACUAUAUAUAUAGACAUAUAACUUCCACUAGUGGAUUGUUAAAUAUUUCAUAUAUGUUCCUCAUCACACAGGAAAUUAUAAUACUGACAAUAAAACAAUCUACUAUCCUUUUGGCUUGUAAAUGGAGCAUCAUCCCUUUCAGCCUAUCAAACAUUGAGUUUUCAAAGAGCUUUGCAGUUCUUAAUGCUCACCAUUUGUUUUGUAUAUAAUUUUAUGAAGAGAAAUAUGUUCCGUUUUCUUUAUGAGAUGAAUUUUUGCUGUUUUUGGCCAAUUAUUUUUUGUUCUAUAUAUAGUAAUCUAUGCAUCUACAGCUCCUUGUUAUAUUCAAUUUUAAUUCAUUUGAGCAGGUAAGCUGUUGAUUUGACUAAUUCUGAAGUGCUACUUACAGAUGUUUUGAUAAAGAUUUCUAAUUUGCAAGAUAGUCUCUCAUGGGCAAGCAAAGGGUUGCUUAUGGAGUGUGUUAUCACUCAUUGAUGCCAGCACAUGAAAGGUUAUCAAUGAUGAGCACUAUCAGUACCUGAUAACUUCCGAUGACAUGGAUCACGACGAAUAUAUUGGCAGUUGCAAUCAACCACCUUGGCUUCUCAAGGGUGAUGAGAAUGUUGUCAUCAACAGCAUUGCCAAAGGCCCAGUAUCCAAUUAGAGCAACAGGGAAGUAGCAAAUAGCAACAACAAGCACCACAUUGUGCCCUGCAUAUGCAAAGGCAACAUCUCCCAGCGCACUGAGGAAGUUGAAGACAACUCCUGUUGUGGUUGAAGCCUUGUAGCUGUAAUCAACAUCUGGUUGGCCUUUCUCCACGGAUGCAACCCAGGCAAUGGUAGAGUAGCUGAUCAUAUCGCAGAGGUACCUGAGGGACAUGACAGCCGCGGCCAAGGAGACGCCUGAGAUGGAGUUGAAGUCGGGAAGCUGAGAGAGAACAAACUGCACGGAGGCGAAGAUCAUGAUGAAGUAAGAAAGCUUGAUGUUCUUGCAGUCGGGGCAGAUGGUGUCGUGGAACUUCUUGAUGGACCUGCCACCGGUGACCAUGUACACGAUGUCGGUGCCGACCUCCACGAUCAGCUGCUGCGGGACGAUGAUCCAGAGCCCGAGCUUUUCUCCAAACACAUGCUGUCCCAGCUCGUGGUAGCGGUCGAAUCGCUUGCCAGGGACCAUCUCGUGCAUCUCCACCAUCUGCCAUAGGGUGUACAAGGUGAUGAUCCACGACAAGACGAGCACCGCCACGCCAGGCCCCCUGAGUUUGCGGCAACAUUAGUCUGAUGACACUCAUCCUAGAUCGAAUUGAAGUUGGAUUCGAAAUCAAAAGAUGAUUUAACAAUAAGAUCAUGAGAUCGAACUUGCAUCUCGUCGAUCGAGACGUAAGGCUUUAAAGGAAGGCUUUAGAUGAGAUGAGAUGAGGAAAGUAUACCAUCCGAGUUCUGCCAUGGCGUAGGGCAAGCUGAGGACGCCGGCGCCGACCAUGGCCGUGACAUUGUGGAAGGCAGAGUACCACCACUUGGCGCUCCGGUUCGAGGUGAUGGGAAGCCAGUCGUCGAUGGCCUUCUCCUUGCUCUGCUGCAGGAGGUCAUUGCGUUCCGGCUCGCUCAUGGGACCCGAAGCUCAGACAACCUGCAAAGAGAUGGAGAGAGGGACGCAACUUAGAUCUGUGCUCCUCCUCCUCUUGCCUUCCUCUCUCUUUCCGCUUCCUCUUGCGUUCCUCGUUGCGACGGGGUUGCGCAUAUAGGAGAUAGAAUAGCUAUGUUUCCCCAAAACAUGUGGCUGCUGUCGAAGACCAAACGAGGCAAAGGAGUUUUGACGGAUUCUUAUACCCGCCCAGGGGAUCCAGAAUCUCUCGUCGAGCGCGGGAGAUUCUCCGAAUCUAUCUCGUACCCAGUUUGACAUUUAUGGUGGGAUUCUGGGACCACACAAUUGAAGGACAGAUUUUGUUGGCGGUCCGACUCGUUGACCGACCGCAGAAGGAGCUGCCGGGCGCGUGUCGCAUCGCUGCAGCUUCCAAACCGAGAGAACAAGACGUCGUAGGAUCUUGAUGUGGGACCGUCCGACCCAAUGAUGCUAUUUCUUGGAAUUGAUACGGGAAAAAGGGAUCGUCUCGUUCUUGGCAAUCACGUCUAGUUGGAGAACUCGUUCUUGGUCGUAACAAGGCUUGUGAGUCUAGUGUGCACUGCAAACUAGCCAAAAGAAUUCUGAAUCUUCACUCCAUAUCUAAACGUUAUCUUUUUAGUUUUGAUAGGAAGUCCUUCACCCAUUCCUCAUGGGAGACCCCUACAAUUUAAACAUAAUAGCCUUCGUCAACAUGAAAAUGUCAAUAGUCUUUCAACAAGUCUCACCUGAAGAUUAGCUAUCUACCUUUCAGCCAAGCCAAAGUUGAAUCCACCAGAAGGAACUGUACUGACUGGUCAUUAUUGCCAAAGUCGAAUCAUGAUUGAGUCGUAUCACCUGGCAUUGCAUCAUCUUCCUCUUCCAACCAA